GACGAACGCUGGCGGCGUGCUUAACACAUGCAAGUCGAACGGUAAGGCCCUUUCGGGGGUACACGAGUGGCGAACGGGUGAGUAACACGUGGGUGAUCUGCCCUGCACUUUGGGAUAAGCCUGGGAAACUGGGUCUAAUACCGAAUACACCUCGCUGGCUGCAUGGUUGGUGGGGAAAGCUUUUGCGGUGUGGGAUGGGCCCGCGGCCUAUCGGCUUGUUGGUGGGGUGAUGGCCUACCAAGGCGA
rnacentral:rRNA from 1 species